UUAAGCAAAGAAUUAGGACGUACACCUCCUGGCUUUUAGCAUGCAUGGUGUUCUGACAUGAAAGGAUUUGCACAUGGUGGGAGCGAGAACUUCCACGUACAAAAAAAUUGCUGCUGUUUGACUGGUGUUUUGCACAGCUUCCAGGGAGCAAUAUAUCUCUAAAUUUGCAGUGACAAAUUUGCUAUAAGUUGUUUUGCAAGCCGGAAGUGUAAUUGCUAGCUGUCUGACAGGGUUUGAAUAAAGGGCUACGACCUCUAAUGUCAAGACCUACUACAGUUUGACCAAUUUCCCAAACAUAAAUCUGC